GCAACAGGUGUCAUAAGUGAGAUUACAGUGCAGUACGGUGCACAGGAAAGAUCUCAAGACACAGGGAACAGUCAGAGAUGGCAAAACAAAAGCUGUCAUUAAUCAUCAUCUUGGUGGUAAUAUGCAACAUUUUGCGAACUGAGGCAUUCAUGGAAAGCCCAGAUUAUCUUUCUUCGGCAACAAACUUGGAUGUCAGCAUUCCAACAGAAGAAUUCAGACAAGCUAUUGAAAUUGAAGUGGACUAUGACAUUGAUAUUGAGGUGACCGUGUCAGAUAUCGCAGUGAUAAAUGAUCUGAAGAACCUUCUUGCAACAACACCAUUCCCAUAUCCACU